rnacentral:pre_miRNA from 1 species
GAGUUCCCUUCAAGCACUUCACAUGACACUAUUUCAAUGUCUAUUAUGUGAAGUGUUUGGGGGAACUC